rnacentral:lncRNA from 1 species
UUCAAUUGUUAUCUGUGAGAAGAUCACAGCCUUCCCUCGAAUUAUUCUAAAUGAUUUGGAUUUUGGAUUGAAUAGUCAAACAGCCAAACCUCACUUCAUCAGCAUCAACAUCAAAUUCAGACUAUAAAUUAGAGUCCUUCUCGGAUGUCCAAAAUACCAAACUCUAAAUUGAAUAGUUCUCAAAAUUCUUUUUCCUAUAUCUCAAAAUCAUGUAAACCUCCCCUCCUCUCACAGCCCACCUUCUCCCAUCUUUUCUUUUCACAACCAUAACCAGUAAAUCCUAUUUUGUCUCUCCCUCUUUUUAUUCCUACUGCAUUUUUAUUUCUUUAAUACUAAACUCUUCCACACUAAUACAUUUCUCGUCACUCCAUUUCCUCAACUCAUCAACUCCAAAGUAGAAUAUUUCAACUGGGUCACAACAAUCUUUAGAAAAAACAUGAAAAGUAUUUGAAAGAAGUUAACCUUGAUUCUUCUUCGCCGCUUGUACCACCGCUGCUGUCAAAGUGUCAUUAAUUCUACUUUGUUCUGUCGUUCACCGUAUGUUGCCGUCCACCAUGCACCGUCGUCUGCUGUCGUCUGCCGUCGACUUUGUACUGCCGUCUGUCGUCGACCUACGGUUGCUACCUCUUAAGCAAGUGUUUGGUCAGAGAAUAAGUCAAUCUCGAAAAAGAAUAGCUUGAUGGGGCUACGGGACUUUAGAGUAGAAACUGAAAUAUUUGGGGGUUAGGGCUGACCCGACCCUAAUUAGAUCUCAACCCAUUUUUUGGGGG